rnacentral:lncRNA from 1 species
AUGUCCACGCUGAGGUGGCAGAAGAGGAUCCAGCAGGACACACCUUGCUCUGGGGCUUCCCACGCUCCCAGGUUCACAGCGCUCUUCUGCUCCCCACUCCCCAAACCCCUACAUCCUGUGCUCCCCACGGCCGUGGAGCGACCUGGCGCUGGGCAGCCGGUCUGUGGGUUACCACCUCCUCCGCCGCCUUCGCCUCCGGAUCCUGUGCCCCUCAGGGGGCCCCCCUCCCUCCUGAGACCCCUUCUCGUCCAGAUCUGGAACUUCAGAAGAGCUGCCCACAGCAGAGUGACUGCAGCAAGAAGGCUUGUCAGGUCUAGUUCGGAGCAGAGGCGGACCAAGCUGCUUGAGGAGGCUUGUGGUGGUAUCCCUAAGAAUCUCCACUGCGGGAAGCCCACAUGGAUACCAGUCAAACACAUUUUGAGCUGA